UUGGAGGGCAAGUCUGGUGCCAGCAGCCGCGGUAAUUCCAGCUCCAAUAGCGUAUAUUAAAGUUGUUGCAGUUAAAAAGCUCGUAGUUGAAUUUCGGGGUCAGCAGGUUGGUCGUGCCAAUGGUAUGCACUGGCCUUGCUGAUUCCUCCCUCUUGAUGAGCCGUAAUGUCAUUAAUUUGGUGUUGCGGGGAAUCAGGACUGUUACUUUGAAAAAAUUAGAGUGUUUAAAGCAGGCAAGCGCUUGAAUACAUUAGCAUGGAAUAAUGAAAUAGGACGUUUGAUCCUAUUUUGUUGGUUUCUAGGAUUGACGUAAUGAUUAAUAGGGAUAGUUGGGGGCAUUAGUAUUCAAUUGUCAGAGGUGAAAUUCUUGGAUUUAUUGAAGACUAACUACUGCGAAAGCAUUUGCCAAGGAUGUUUUCAUUAAUCAAGAACGAAAGUUAGGGGAUCGAAGACGAUCAGAUACCGUCGUAGUCUUAACCAUAAACUAUGCCGACUAGGGAUCGGAUGAUGUUAUUUUUUAAUGACUCAUUCGGCACCUUACGGGAAAC
rnacentral:rRNA from 1 species